rnacentral:rRNA from 1 species
GUGCCAGCAGCCGCGGUAAUACGGAGGAUGCGAGCGUUAUCCGGAUUUAUUGGGUUUAAAGGGUGCGUAGGUGGUUUGUUAAGUUUGUGGUGAAAGCGUGCGGCUCAACCGUACCAAGCCAUGAAAACUGGCGAACUUGAGUGCAAACGAGGUAGGCGGAAUGUGAUGUGUAGCGGUGAAAUGCUUAGAUAUGUCACAGAACCCCGAUUGCGAAGGCAGCUUACCAGCAUGCAACUGACACUGAGGCACGAAAGCGUGGGUAUCAAACAGGAUUAGAUACCCUGGUAGUCCACGCAGUAAACGAUGAAUACUAGCUGUUGGCGAUAUAUGGUCAGCGGUACAGCGAAAGUGUUAAGUAUUCCACCUGGGGAGUACGCCGGCAACGGUGAAACUCAAAGGAAUUGACGGGGGCCCGCACAAGCGGAGGAACAUGUGGUUUAAUUCGAUGAUACGCGAGGAACCUUACCCGGGCUUGAAAGUUAGUGACGGCGGAUGAAAGUCUGCUUCCCUUCGGGGCACGAAACUAGGUGCUGCAUGGUUGUCGUCAGCUCGUGCCGUGAGGUGUCGGCUUAAGUGCCAUAACGAGCGCAACCCUUGCCGUUAGUUGCCAUCGGGUAAUGCCGGGAACUCUAGCGGGACUGCUACUGUAAGGUAGAGGAAGGUGGGGAUGACGUCAAAUCAGCACGGCCCUUACGUCCGGGGCGACACACGUGUUACAAUGGUGAGUACAGAGGGUUGCUACCCCGCGAGGGGAUGCUAAUCUCAUAAAACUCAUCUCAGUUCGGAUCGGAGUCUGCAACUCGACUCCGUGAAGCUGGAUUCGCUAGUAAUCGCGCAUCAGCCAUGGCGCGGUGAAUACGUUCCCGGGCCUUGUACACACCGCCCGU